AUUUUGCGCAGCUUAGGUGGGAGGCUAUGAACCUUUUCUUCUGGGAAGAGGGGAGCCGUCAGUGAGAUACCACUCUUGGUAAGCUAGAGCGCUCAGUCUUAACCGUCAUCCGGUAAGACGACAGUUUCAGGCGGGCAGUUUGACUGGGGCAGUCACCUCCCAAAAGGUAAUGGAGGUGUGCAAAGGUUCCCUCAGGCUGGACGGAAAUCAGCCAUAGAGUGUAAAAGCAAAAGGGAGCUUGACUGCGAGACUGACAUGUCAAGCAGAGACGAAAGUCGGCUUUAGUGAUCCGACGGUGCUGUGUGGAAAGGCCGUCGCUCAACGGAUAAAAGUUACUCUAGGGAUAACA
rnacentral:rRNA from 1 species